UUCAGUCAUGAUCAGAUUAAUAAUGAGAUUAUUGAAUAUGAAUAUUAGAAAGAAAUAUUGUCAUCUAAUUGUUUAGUCAUGACAUUUGGUGAAAACAAGAGGUAUAAACUUUUUUUUUUCCUUAUACAAUUGUCUCAACUAACUUACAAACUAAUACUUUUCAUAUCAGGGCAUUUGGUCUAGUGGUAUAAUUCUCGCUUUGGG
rnacentral:lncRNA from 1 species